GCCAAAACUAUUACCACAGAUUGAAAAUGAAAGCACAAUUCUUGUUCUUGAUAGACUUCUCCGACCCUUCACGUGAAGAUGUGUCCUAUUAGGCCUCCCAUCAAAUAACUUGUAAUACCCUCUUAAAGCCAACCCUUCCUAUUUAAACCAUCAGGCAGUUUAUAUAGAUCAUAGUAAACCAAAAAUACUCCUCACUCCUCCAUCAUUUUUUGUUUAUUUCUUUUUAUUGUCAAGCCACCUUAAUUACUAUCCAAAUAUUUUUAUUGUGAAUGGGGUUGAAAUAUCAGUAUGUGAAGCAAAGAAGAGGAUCAAAGCGCAAGAAGUGUGGAGAGAACAUUCAGCAAGAAAGCAGCAGCUCAUCAUUGUGGGUGGUGGCAGCUUAUUAUUCUUCAAUCUCUUACAUUGUGAGAAAGGCUAAAGCAUUUUAUGAGUGGGUUUGCAAUGGAAACAAAGAAGAGAAGGAAUUGUGGGUAGAGAAUGAGGCGCGGAGCUAGAAGCCUGGAUACGAGCUCGACCGAAGCAUCAGCUUUUAUUCGAAUAGUGUAUUUAUGUUAAAAAAAAUUAUUAAAUAUGUACAAAUAUUAAAUUUAGAGUCUAGUUAUUGCCACUUGAAGUAGUCAUUUGAAUUAUUGGCUCCGCCUCCAUAAUAAAACAAGUUGUCGUUCUUUGUUGUAACUGUGACCUAAUAGUGUAAGAAUUCCUCUAAACAGUUUAUAUA